rnacentral:rRNA from 1 species
AGCGAACGCUGGCGGCAGGCUUAACACAUGCAAGUCGAACGGGCGUAGCAAUACGUCAGUGGCAGACGGGUGAGUAACGCGUGGGAACGUACCUUUUGGUUCGGAACAACCCAGGGAAACUUGGGCUAAUACCGGAUAAGCCCUUACGGGGAAAGAUUUAUCGCCGAAAGAUCGGCCCGCGUCUGAUUAGCUUGUUGGUGAGGUAACGGCUCACCAAGGCGACGAUCAGUAGCUGGUCUGAGAGGAUGAUCAGCCACAUUGGGACUGAGACACGGCCCAAACUCCUACGGGAGGCAGCAGUGGGGAAUAUUGGACAAUGGGCGCAAGCCUGAUCCAGCCAUGCCGCGUGAGUGAUGAAGGCCCUAGGGUUGUAAAGCUCUUUUGUGCGGGAAGAUAAUGACGGUACCGCAAGAAUAAGCCCCGGCUAACUUCGUGCCAGCCGCCGCGGUAA